rfam:Ictidomys tridecemlineatus contig031392, whole genome shotgun sequence.
GGGGUUGUAGCUCAGUGAUAGAGUGCUCGCCUUGCAUGCGUGAAGCACUGGGUUCGAUCCUCAGCACCA